AAUAUUGGACAAUGGGGGCAACUCUGAUGCAGCAACGCCGCGUGAGUGAAGAAGGUUUUCGGAUCGUAAAACUCUGUCAUUGGGGAAGAAUAAAUGACGGUACCCAAUGAGGAAGCCCCGGCUAACUACGUGCCAGCAGCCGCGGUAAUACGUAGGGGGCGAGCGUUGUCCGGGAUUAUUGGGCGUAAAGGGUGCGUAGGCGGUCUAUUAAGUCUGGUUUGAAGGCUUAUGGCUUAACCAUAACAAGUGACUGGAAACUGGUAGACUUGAGGAUAGAAGAGGAAAGUGGAAUUCCACGUGUAGCGGUGAAAUGCGUAGAGAUGUGGAGGAACACCGGUGGCGAAGGCGGCUUUCUGGUCUAUCACUGACGCUAAUGCACGAAAGCGUGGGUAGCAAACA
rnacentral:rRNA from 1 species